GGAACAGCGUCUCUAUCGUGCUUGUUAGGGUAAACCUUACUGAAUCUUGAUUAUAAUAAAAGGUUCGUUAUGCCGUGUUACAGGUGGUUCCUAAACGGUGGAAGCACUGAGCUUUGAUCAAUAACAAGGUGGAGCAACUUUUCAUCAAGUGGAUGGAGCUAUGUGUGGUAAAGCCUCAGCUAUAGUUCGCCUAGUAAAUGUUCUCCUUUUGGUUGAGUUAACAUCAGAUCUUUAGGGAAGGCACUCCCUUCCUGUUAGUGCCUAGAGCUGAUUUGAUUUGGUGUUGAAAACUGCAUGCUUCCUUAUCGUGAAGAACCAUGUUGCUAAAACAAACAAAGUUUGUUAUUCCUCUGUGGUGCUGUGGGCACUCUCUAGUCACUAGCUGUUGCCGGCUUGGUCAUACAUGCUACACACAUGGACAAAUUUUUAUCCUGGUAUGGGCUCUCUUUUUACCUUUUCUGUAUGCUAUUAUGCUACUGCUUAGCUAGGGCAAGAUUGCAUGCAUCGUCUCCAUGAAUGACUUUGGUGGCCAGUCACAAUCUAAUUCCCAGAUGGUGCCUGCCUUGAUUUGCACUUGUUGGCCUGUUUUCCCAAUCCUCUGCCUCUGCAUCUGCACUGGGAGUUGUAGUUGGUCUGAUGUGCCCUGAGCUGCAAGUUGGACAGUCUUGUGAGUUGUGAGCCUGCACGUAGGCUGCCGCUGAUGCAACCUGCUGCCACUUUGCUUGCUCUCUGGGCUGAUGCCCACUACACGAGCCAAAGCAAAGGAGGAAGUGCCAUGCAUGCAAGCUGUCUAAUUCAUGGGAAGAAAAGUGACGCAUACAUUUCUUCCUAUGCAACUUUUUUGCAUGUGAUGGAAGGAAACAGAGAUAUUGAGAUAGCGCUGCGGCGUUCCAGAACCUGAAUCUCCCAGGUGUGCUGACUAUGACUUGAGCAGUUUGAUUAGAAGACUAGUAUUGAACUACUGAUGCACUUGUCGAUUAGGAUGAAAACAUGUUACUUUUCCAAUAAAAAAGCAUGUCAGUUUUGUUAUCUGGAUGACAUGUAAGUUUAUUUGUAGACUAAUCUUCUCAUUACCUCUAUUAACUUUGCUUGUUUUUGAAGCCAGAUGCUAGUGGAGUUGAAGUUUUUCCUGUUGACUUUCCACACGUAGAACAACAGAGCGCCCAGGUUUUCUGCAGCAUGUCAGGUGUAGGCCUAAUCGCACCACAACACCAAACAAUUUAGAUUUACAGUUUUUGUCAGUUUCAUCUGUCCAUUGUCAUAACCAUGAAAAGGAGAUGCAUGUAUGCAGGAAGCUGCCUGAGCUAGCUAGACCUGAGCAGGACGACACUACAGAUAACAUUUGAACUGAAGCUUCAGGCUCAAAUGUUUCCCAGAUCUGGGGCGACCAUGAAUGCCAGAUGGAGACCAUCGGCAUGGCUCCUAAUCUUCUUGCUCAUAUUCGGUAUGGCUGUACUGGUUGUUUGGUGAGAUGAGUCCAAAAGGAGCUUCGAAAUAACCGAGCAGGAUGAGAGAAUUGACGGUUCAGACCAGUGAUCUUUGCUUCUUCUGUGUCCAGCCAAGCUACUGAGCACGCCAAGCAGAUGCAUGCAGCGGUGCACACUUGAUUUUCUGGCAGUGGCGAGCGUUAGGUGCUGUGGCGAGCAGAGCAAAGAGGGAAGGUGAUUCUGAUGCCCAGCUAGAAUCCUAGUACUAAUCUUCUAGUUUCUUACUGGCGUGAUGGGGUGUUAGGUUAGGUGCUGGUAAUGCAGAUUAGAUGCCGGAUCUCCGACGGCAAUGGCAACGGCGAUGGAUCAUGAUUGAGCCGCUGACCUCUAACAUUGCAAUGCAAAGCCGGGUUUGGAGUGGAUGGAUAGAGAAUCCUCGCCUUUUCCACCUUUGCCAUGCACGAGUUAGGCCGUUAGCGCGCAUGAUCAUGCCUCGUAGGCCAUGCACGCCGGCCCAAGCGUGGCAUGAUGCCAUCCUGAUGGCAAAACUUUGUCACAACUCCACGAGCCGACUAAAUCUGAUAUAACUAGAGUUAGUGAAAACUCGUGUGGUCUGUUUCUUUAAGUUGCUGUUGUUGUUUGUAUGUUGGUCGUGUUGUUUUUGGUGCAUAAAGUAGAGAUUUGAAGCUUUUGUUUUGGGCUAA